AUUGAACGCUGGCGGUAUGCUUAAGACAUGCAAGUCGAACGGUAACAGACCUUCGGGUGCUGACGAGUGGCGGACGGGUGAGUAACACGUGGGAAUCUACCUUGUAGUGGGGGAUAAGCCAGGGAAACUUGGACUAAUACCGCAUACGCCCUAAGGGGAAAGGCGCAAGUCGCUAUAAGAUGAGCCCGCGUCUGAUUAGCUAGUUGGUGAGGUAAAAGCUCACCAAGGCGACGAUCAGUAGCUGGUCUGAGAGGAUGGCCAGCCACAUUGGGACUGAGACACGGCCCAGACUCCUACGGAGGCAGCAGUCGGGAAUAUUGGACAAUGGGGGCAACCCUGAUCCAGCAAUACCGCGUGUGUGAAGAAGGCCUGCGGGUUGUAAACCUCUUUCAGCAGGGACGAAGGUGACUGACGGUACCUGUAGAAGAAGCACCGGCAACUACGUG
rnacentral:rRNA from 1 species